GGCAUGCCUAACACAUGCAAGUCGAACGAAGGCUUCGGCCUUAGUGGCGCACGGGUGCGUAACGCGUGGGAAUCUGCCCUUAGGUUCGGAAUAACAGCUGGAAACGGCUGCUAAUACCGGAUGAUGACGAAAGUCCAAAGAUUUAUCGCCUGAGGAUGAGCCCGCGUUGGAUUAGGUAGUUGGUGGGGUAAAGGCCUACCAAGCCGACGAUCCAUAGCUGGUCUGAGAGGAUGAUCAGCCACACUGGGACUGAGACACGGCCCAGACUCCUACGGGAGGCAGCAGUGGGGAAUAUUGGACAAUGGGCGAAAGCCUGAUCCAGCAAUGCCGCGUGAGUGAUGAAGGCCCUAGGGUUGUAAAGCUCUUUUACCCGGGAAGAUAAUGACUGUACCGGGAGAAUAAGCCCCGGCUAACUCCGUGCCAGCAGCCGCGGUAAUACGGAGGGGGCUAGCGUUGUUCGGAAUUACUGGGCGUAAAGCGCACGUAGGCGGCUUUGUAAGUCAGAGGUGAAAGCCUGGAGCUCAACUCCAGAACUGCCUUUGAGACUGCAUCGCUUGAAUCCAGGAGAGGUCAGUGGAAUUCCGAGUGUAGAGGUGAAAUUCGUAGAUAUUCGGAAGAACACCAGUGGCGAAGGCGGCUGACUG
rnacentral:rRNA from 1 species